AAGAAAUCCUUUUCAUUUCCUCCUCCUGAAUUUUGGAAGGUCCAAAGUGAACUAUUGACUGGCGCGCAUUCAGAGUCGGAAACUCAUGCAAAGAACCAUUAUUCAUUUGAAACCACACAAAAGCACAUCCUAAUUCAAAAAAACCAAUCCAACAAAUCCAAGAAUGACACAUUGUAUCUAGAGCCUUGUGCUGCAUCUGUACAAUUAGAAGUUUUAUUUUGUUUCUCGUAUAAUUGACACUAAUUGUAUAAGGCUCUUUCUUGUUUUAUAAAUUCGUGAAUCUUAAUCUUAUAUGUUUGGGUCCACAAAAAUUUGGCUCCAUAAAUUGUGAGACAAAAAGGAGCCUCAUACAACUAAUGCAGCUGUAUGAGACACAAAAUAAAUUUUUUCGUACAACUAGUAUUUUAUCUACCAAAGGCAAAAUGACUUGAUAGCCACUUAAACUUGUACGAGAUUUUAAAGCCGAUAUUUAAAUUUUGAAUUUUUCCAUUUUAGCACCUCAACUCAAUCAAUUGAGUAUAAAUAAACAUGUAACUCAAUUGCCUGAAAGAAGAACACGUCAAAUGCUAAAACCAUUUAUUAUUUUACAUGUGUCAUCUUUGAGUCCCUCUUUGAAAAUUAAUUUAUCAAAAUUUCUUUUCUUAUUUUACUUCUUUCAUUAUUUCUUCUACACGUUUUAGUGCUACCAUGGGAAAAAAAAUCUCAGUCAUGACUGAUUCGUGAACUUCCACAAAAUUCCUUCCAUCCUUAACUUCUAACAAUAUUCAUAAAAUUUUUCCCCAAGUCAAAGAGUCGAUGGGCCACCCACUAAAAUUCGGUCAAGGCAACAAAAGAUCCGGCGAAGCUAUGUCAAAGAAGGAUACGAAUGGUAAAAUCAGAAAGAGAGAAGAAGUCAGAUUGCAUAAGUAGAAAUUUUCAACAAAAAUUCGUCAAUUUUCUGAUAGUCUUUCUCUUGUUGUCUUUCAAUUUGAGAUAGGGCACCUAAUGUGACAGAAAGGAUUGGCAAUAUUUUUGACAAAAUAUAUUAUUUUUCUUUGUUUCUCACUACUGCCGAGCUUUACAAAAAGUGGAAGUUGCUCUCAACACGAGGGAUAUACAAGAAAGACCUGCUCUAGAUCUCCAAGUCUCCAUGGUCGUUCUUUUUAACAUCUCUUUCUAUUCUUAUAAUGUAAUGCUAUCAGUCACCUCGUACUACCCCCAUUGUGCAUCCUGUGUAAUAUCAAGGAAAGGGAAGGCUCAUACUACCGCGGCGGGAGGUCGUCCCCCAACACAUUCCCCCUAUAGUUGAUCUGCAACAGAUUGAGGCAUAUCCUUUGGAGAUGGUCACGGCAGCGGCGGCAAGUGGAUCAUUCAUGCGCAGACUUAAUUGAAAAAGAAAGAUUCCCUUUUGUUACCGACCUUCUUACCUUGACUGAUGUUUUAGGUCUUCUUAUCCAAGAGGACACUUUAAUCUUGCUUUAGAGGCCCGAAUGCUUAUCAUUCUUGCCUUCUAAACUUCUUUAUAUCGAGGGAUGAGGAACCAUAUUAUCCUGCAUUCCUUAAACCUAUGUAGUGAGUCGUGUAGGUGGCGUGCUGAAAAAGAAAGAUUCCCUUUUGUUACCGACCUUCUUCCCUUGACUGGUGUUUUAGGUCUUCUUAUCCAAGAGGACACUUUAAUCUUGCUUUAGAGGCCCGAAUGCUUAUCAUUCUUGCCUUCUAAACUUCUUUAUAUCGAGGGAUGAGGAACCAUAUUAUCCUGCAUUCCUUAAACUUAUGUAGUGAGUCGUGUAGGUGGCGUAUUUAAAUUAGGGCCAUACAUUGAGAUUCUUUUCUCCUCAUCGCUAGCUAGUCGAGAUGCUAUCUCUCUUCUCCUUGAAAGAAGCAAGGAAAAAUUGGAGUGGAAGGUAAAAAAAGAAAAAGAAAAAGAAAAAGAAAAGGGGAGGUGCAUGUAUCAAUGGGGAAAGGGAAAAAGAAAGAGAAAGAGGCGAGGGAAAAUAAGGGUAUUACUUAUUUUGGAGGGGGGCUUAUUUUUUUUUUUUUUUUCAUUUGUAAUGUUUUUCUUAUGCUUUUACAUUUUUUUAAUCAAAAUUAAUGUAGUCAUGCGCUUAAUU
rnacentral:lncRNA from 1 species